GCCUGGGUGGCUCAGUCGGUUGAGCGUCCGACUUCAGCUCAGGUCAUGAUCUCACGGUUUGUGGGUUCGAGCCCCGCGUCGGGCU
rnacentral:tRNA from 1 species